AGUGAACGCUGGCGGUAGGCCUAACACAUGCAAGUCGAACGGCAGCACAGUAAGAGCUUGCUCUUACGGGUGGCGAGUGGCGGACGGGUGAGGAAUACAUCGGAAUCUACUUUUUCGUGGGGGAUAACGUAGGGAAACUUACGCUAAUACCGCAUACGACCUACGGGUGAAAGCAGGGGAUCUUCGGACCUUGCGCGAUUGAAUGAGCCGAUGUCGGAUUAGCUAGUUGGCGGGGUAAGGGCCCACCAAGGCGAGGAUCCGUAGCUGGUCUGAGAGGAUGAUCAGCCACACUGGAACUGAGACACGGUCCAGACUCCUACGAGAGGCAGCAGUGGGGAAUAUUGGACAAUGGGCGCAAGCCUGAUCCAGCCAUACCGCGUGGGUGAAGAAGGCCUUCGGGUUGUAAAGCCCUUUUGUUGGGAAAGAAAAGCAGCAGGUUAAUACCCCGCUGUUCUGACGGUACCCAAAGAAUAAGCACCGGCUAACUUCGUG
rnacentral:rRNA from 1 species